UUCCCCUUAGCUCAGUGGAGUGAGAGCGCGGCCGUCCGAAGGCCGAGGCCGCUGGUUCGAGUCCAGCAGGGGAAGCCA
rnacentral:tRNA from 1 species